UCGCGGCUGGCCUGCUGGUGGCGCUCGGCACGCUGGCGAUGCGUCAGUUCGGGCAUUUCGAACUGCGGUUCGACACCUCGCUGCAAG
rnacentral:tRNA from 1 species